GACGAACGCUGGCGGCGUGCCUAAUACAUGCAAGUAGAACGCUGAAGAGAGGAGCUUGCUCUUCUUGGAUGAGUUGCGAACGGGUGAGUAACGCGUAGGUAACCUGCCUUGUAGCGGGGGAUAACUAUUGGAAACGAUAGCUAAUACCGCAUAACAAUGGAUGACACAUGUCAUUUAUUUGAAAGGGGCAAUUGCUCCACUACAAGAUGGACCUGCGUUGUAUUAGCCAGUAGGUGAGGUAAUGGCUCACCUAGGCGACGAUACAUAGCCGACCUGAGAGGGUGAUCGGCCACACUGGGACUGAGACACGGCCCAGACUCCUACGGGAGGCAGCAGUAGGGAAUCUUCGGCAAUGGGGGCAAACCUGACCGAGCAACGCCGCGUGAGUGAAGAAGGUUUUCGGAUCGUAAAGCUCUGUUGUAAGUCAAGAACGGGUGUGAGAGUGGAAAGUUCACACUGUGACGGUAGCUUACCAGAAAGGGACGGCUAACUACGUG
rnacentral:rRNA from 1 species